rnacentral:lncRNA from 1 species
GGCUAUUCGAGGCAUGUCUCCUGAUGUCUCCCAAAGAAUGCACUCCUCUGGCCUAUGCCUGAUUACUCUGCAGAAAUUCCCGUGGUUUCUGCCAUCUCAGCAACUUCUGUCACAGAGACGCUGGAAAUACUCUACUGAAAACGUUCGUGGAUAGAAAGACACUUCUAUAAAAGACGAAGUUGGUUGUACUUCCCAUGAAACCAUUACUUGAAGACACACGUUUACAUAACAGCAAUGAGAGAAAAAGUGAGUAAUUCAGUCAAUGAUAUUAUAUUCAAGUUUUUAUGUC